AAUUAAAUAGUUUAAUAAAAACAUAAUAUUGAAGAUAUUAAAAUGAUUUUAAUCUUUAAUUA
rnacentral:tRNA from 1 species